UACGAAGGGGGCUAGCGUUGUUCGGAAUUACUGGGCGUAAAGCGCACGUAGGCGGAUCGAUCAGUCAGGGGUGAAAUCCCAGGGCUCAACCCUGGAACUGCCUUUGAUACUGUCGAUCUGGAGUAUGGAAGAGGUGAGUGGAAUUCCGGGUGUAGUGGUGAAAUGCGUAGAGAUCCGGAGGAACACCAGUGGCGAAGGCGGCCCCCUGGGCCGCGCCUGACGCUGAGGAGCGAAAGCGUGGGUAGCAAACAGG
rnacentral:rRNA from 1 species